CCCAGACAGCCAGGAUGUUGGCUUAGAAGCAGCCAUCAUUUAAAGAAAGCGUAAUAGCUCACUGGUCGAGUCGGCCUGCGCGGAAGAUGUAACGGGGCUAAACCAUGCACCGAAGCUGCGGCAGCGACACUGUGUGUUGUUGGGUAGGGGAGCGUUCUGUAAGCCUGUGAAGGUGGCCUGUGAGGGUUGCUGGAGGUAUCAGAAGUGCGAAUGCUGACAUAAGUAACGAUAAAGCGGGUGAAAAGCCCGCUCGCCGGAAGACCAAGGGUUCCUGUCCAACGUUAAUCGGGGCAGGGUGAGUCGACCCCUAAGGCGAGGCCGAAAGGCGUAGUCGAUGGGAAACAGGUUAAUAUUCCUGUACUUGGUGUUACUGCGAAGGGGGGACGGAGAAGGCUAUGUUGGCCGGGCGACGGUUGUCCCGGUUUAAGCGUGUAGGUGUGUGUUCCAGGUAAAUCCGGUUCACUUUAACACUGAGGCGUGAUGACGAGGCACUACGGUGCUGAAGCAACAAAUGCCCUGCUUCCAGGAAAAGCCUCUAAGCAUCAGGUAACAUCAAAUCGUACCCCAAACCGACACAGGUGGUCAGGUAGAGAAUACCAAGGCGCUUGAGAGAACUCGGGUGAAGGAACUAGGCAAAAUGGUGCCGUAACUUCGGGAGAAGGCACGCUGA
rnacentral:rRNA from 1 species